UCUCAUUUGGCUCUGGACACUUGAACAAUCUAGUGUUGGAAAUAUGCAUUGAGCCCUCAGCUGCCAUUCGUUGUUUUAAUAAACUAUCAGCAUCUUCAAUGUGUUGAAGAAGCAAUCCAUCACUUCAGUAUGACCUAGUGUGUUGUCCAGGUAAUUAGUUGUUAAGAUGAAGUAUCUACUCUGUGUGAGGUGAGCUCUGAGGGUGGAGGCGUCUCUAAAUCACACAUGGAUUGAGUUUUUCUUUCCAUUAAAGUAUCUUUAUGCUACUUGG